AGCGGGAGGGGCGGGAGGCCCAGGCGGUUCCUGGUUCCCGGGCAGCCUCUGUAGCCCCUGGGGCUCAGUCGGGGCCUAGCCGCCUCGCCCCCUCUCCGCAGCCUGGAGCAAACUUGGGAUUUUCAGCCAGCGUGGAGGACACGGCUGAUUCACCCAGGGGCUUUUGUGGGGACAUUCCUGCCGUCGGAGGCCCCUUUUCCGAAUGGCCCGUAGGCGGGGGUUCUUCCAGUGGGGCCUCCGGGGCUCUGACCAGAGAAUAUGAUUCGGGCCUCAGGGUGUGUGUGGGGGGGAGGAGUUUCCCCCUCCACGGUCUCUAGCGAUUCCGUCUUAGCUUCCCGGAUUCUCCCGCUGCACCUGCUCCCGGUGGCCGGUCAAACGGGAGCAUCCCGCCCUCCCUGGCGACUCCAAUCCCAAAGCCAGUGUAACGCGCAUGUGUCCGUUGCAGGAAUAUGCGUUUCAGCCCUAAUGUCUUGUGUGCCGGGUGAGUGGUGGCAUCAUGGCACGUGCAAGUGAACGUUCAUCCACACAGGUGAGUCCUUGUACUGCCCAGUGUGGGCACACGUCCGUGCACGUCUGGAUGUCCGUGCGCAGGCGCCGGUGCACGGGUGCGCUGUGAGUGCGUGUGCGGGGCUCACACCGGCCGGCUGUGCACAGGCAAGCUAAGGGCAGGCAGACGUGUCGCUGAUGUGUAGCAAAGUGUCCUGUUCCUGUGCGCGCUCACUGGAGGUGGCGUCCAGCCCCAGCCUGUCAUCUAAAGUCCUCCUUCCCUCCCUCUCCAUUCCCUAGACACUCAGGGAUCUGAACCCGGCCACUCACCGUGGUGGCGGCUCUGGUUCCGACUUCUUUCCGAGCCCUUCCCCGGACCGGUCGUUGCUCCUCUCCAGCCAAAGGGCUCCAGCCGGGAAAGCCCCUUUCGGCCCCCCGAGGGGGGGAAUUCCCGUGACGAUCCCGUGCGUCACUCCCCAUGCCCUUUUUUAUUGGUUGAAAGUUUAACUCCAGGACUCUUGUAGCCAACCCGGAGCAACGCAGGCGCGCCCCUUUCGGGGAAGGCUCGCCCAGGACUGGCCGCGGGGUGUCACCCAGCUCCAGUUCUGCUAGGGACCAGCGAGGCGGGACGACGGACCCAGCGCAGGGCGCGGCUCAGAUCUCUGCACUCUUCCAGGCUUGCCCGGGACCGUUACGGAGUCCAGUGGGCCACUUGGCUCUUGCUGUGCCCAGAGGUUGGCUAUCUCUGAGACACAGGAAACCGGGUCAGUCCCAACACUCCAGUAACCCUCCCAGAGAGGGACCUCCUAGCUGGGAAGGGGAAGAGGAAGGAGUCAGAUCUUGCGGUCAGCUCCAGAUCGCCAUCUAGCGGCCUUUCUGGAGCCGCAAGGAAACUCUGGGGUCAACUGUCUUAGUUUCCGGGCUUCAGGAAGAGACAACUGAUGUUUAUUCUGUAAGUGGCGGGUUCACAAGGGCCAAGGCUUUUAGGAUGACUCGUUGGAGAAUCAAUGUGCUGGGGGAAGAAAAGAAGAAGGAAGAGAAGAAAGAUGUUUGCCUGGGAGUCUUAGGCCUCGUUCAUCCACCACAGAUGUCCCAACUAUUUGACUUGAAAGGCAUCCAACUGGGCGUGGCGAAAUUCACCUGCAGUCCCAGCUUUCUUGAAACCAAGACAGAUCCUAAGUUUCACACCACCCUGUCUCAACACACAUGCACGCAAAUCUGUCCAAAGUGCCUUUCAAACUUCCUCUUCUGUGGAAAAUUGCCAGCGGUGUGCUUUGCAUGGGUGAGGGCCAGCUGUUACCAUCAUAAAGUGGGUGGGAGGCUCUGGAGACCUCUCAGCGCCGAAGCACUCCUGCUCUUCCUGCAUCCAGGAAGAUUCUUCCAGGAUCCACGUGGGACGGCUCACAAGUGUCCGAAACGAUCACACCAGGGUCCCCUGGCUCUCUCCUCGCCUUCUGGGAGACCGAAUUCAGGUGCACACCCUUCAAUUCUUGACUACUCAUCCCCCAAACCCCAAACCCACGUGGUGACAAAUAAGAAAUAAAAUCAUUUUAGAAAGUCUCCCUGAAAA
rnacentral:lncRNA from 1 species